rnacentral:rRNA from 1 species
AGUGAACGCUGGCGGUAGGCCUAACACAUGCAAGUCGAACGGCAGCACAGUAAGAGCUUGCUCUUACGGGUGGCGAGUGGCGGACGGGUGAGGAAUACAUCGGAAUCUACUUUUUCGUGGGGGAUAACGUAGGGAAACUUACGCUAAUACCGCAUACGACCUACGGGUGAAAGCAGGGGAUCUUCGGACCUUGCGCGGUUGAAUGAGCCGAUGUCGGAUUAGCUAGUUGGCGGGGUAAAGGCCCACCAAGGCGACGAUCCGUAGCUGGUCUGAGAGGAUGAUCAGCCACACUGGAACUGAGACACGGUCCAGACUCCUACGGGAGGCAGCAGUGGGGAAUAUUGGACAAUGGGCGCGAGCCUGAUCCAGCCAUACCGCGUGGGUGAAGAAGGCCUUCGGGUUGUAAAGCCCUUUUGUUGGGAAAGAAAAGCAGCAGGUUAAUACCCCGCUGUUCUGACGGUACCCAAAGAAUAAGCACCGGCUAACUUCGUG